rnacentral:rRNA from 1 species
AUUGAACGCUGGCGGCAGGCCUAACACAUGCAAGUCGAACGGUAACAGGAAGCAGCUUGCUGCUUCGCUGACGAGUGGCGGACGGGUGAGUCAUGUCUGGGAAACUGCCUGAUGGAGGGGGAUAACUACUGGAAACGGUAGCUACUACCGCAUAACGUCGCAAGCCCAAAGAGGGGGACCUUAGGGCCUCUUGCCAUCGUAUGUGCCCAGAUGGGAUUAGCUAGUAGGUGGGGUAACGGCUCACCUAGGCGACGAUCCCUAGCUGGUCUGAGAGGAGGACCAGCCACACGGGAACGGAGACACGGUCCAGACUCCUAAGGGAGGCAGCAGUGGGGAAUAUUGCACAAUGGGCGCAAGCCUGAUGCAGCCAUACCGCGUGUAUGAAGAAGGCCUUCGGGUUGUAAAGUACUUUCAGCGGGGAGGAAGGGAGUAAAGUUAAUACCUUUGCUCAUUGACGUUACCCGCAGAAGAAGCACCGGCUAACUCCGUG